GUGAAUCAUCGAAUCUUUGAACGCACCUUGCGCUCCUUGGUAUUCCGAGGAGCAUGCCUGUUUGAGUGUCAUGAAUAUCUCAGCCCGAAAGUUGAAUUUUUGAAAUACAACUGAGGGUUGGACUUGGAGGUAUUGCUGGCCUAGAGUCAGCUCCUCUCUAAAUGUAUUAGCAAAAUCUUUCAAGAUGUAGCUCAGUGUGAUAAAUUAUCUUACAUUGUGCAUAUGCGUCUUGCUUGUGCUACCCUGCCUCUAGUGCGGAUGUGUGGCAAAGAUUGAGCUUCUAACUGUCAUUAGACAAUCUAAUUGACAUCUGACCUCAAAUCAGGUAGGACUACCCGCUGAACUUAA
rnacentral:rRNA from 1 species